AUUGAACGCUGGCGGCAGGCCUAACACAUGCAAGUCGAGCGAGCGGCGGACGGGUGAGUAAUGUCUGGGGAUCUGCCCGAUAGAGGGGGAUAACUACUGGAAACUGUGGCUAAUACCUCCUACUAUCGGAUGACCCCAUAUGGGAUUAGCUAGUAGGUGGGGUAAAGGCUCACCUAGGCGACGAUCUCUAGCUGGUCUGAGAGGAUGAGCAGCCACACUGGAACUGAGACACGGCCCAGACUCCGACGGGAGGCAGCAGUGGGGAAUAUUGAAAAAUGGGCGCAAGCCUGAUGCAGCCAUGCCGCGUGUAUGAAGAAGGCCUUAGGGUUGUAAAGUACUUUCAGCGGGGAGGCGUUACCCGCAGAAGAAGCACAGGCUAACUCCGUGCCAGCAGCCGCGGUAAUAC
rnacentral:rRNA from 1 species